CCCGACUUGAAAACAAAGACACAAUGUAUGGCAAACAAACAUAGUAUCAGUAGAGUAUAAAUACAGUACAGGUUCACAUUGGCAGUAUCCUCUGGUCUGAUCUAUAUCAACCACAGCAGACUUAACUACUGUACAGAUUCUGUGAGUGUGCUGAACGUUGACUUCUAUCACAAUGCUGCGUAUCUGCCUGAUUAUCUCUGUAGUUUGUGCUACAGGCACUACAAUGCCUUUACCUGAUCUAUUCUCAUACUCACCUGCUGUCGGGGGUGGAAGUGGAACUGAAUUUACCACUGCAAAUGAGGGAUGUAUUACUGGAAUUAAAAUUUGGGAAUACCCUAGCAACUAUAUAUAUGGGCUCCAGCUGAAAUAUGACACAAACUGGACGACAACUAUUGGUUCAGAGAAUGGUAAUCCACAGGUGAUGGAAUUCUAUGAGAAAGAAUACAUCACUCAGAUCUCUGGAAAGUACGACGCGAGUUACAUCUAUGAGCUCAUCUUUGUCACCAAUCUGGGGCGAUUUUUAAAAGUGGGGCAGUCUAGUGGUAACUCAUUUAACAUUUACCCAGCCCAAAGAGGGAGUGAUUUGCGCUUUCUCAGCAUUCGAACCAAUGGAUGGGCCAUCACGUCUAUUGGGGCUCAUUGGUCCGUGAUACGUAACUGCGACAUGUCUGUGAACACAGCUAUAAAAAAAGUCUAAUUUUUUAGCAUGGAAAUGAAUAGUUAAUUCUAUUUACUCUUAUUUGUCAUACUUGUAGCUAUAUUUGUUUUCUUUUGUGGUUUAUUGUAUCUUAAUGAUUCUUAUUUAACUUCUGGCAGUUGGUGUAAUUCUGUAAACUCUUUUAUGCAAAGUCUAAUAACAGCAUUCAUUUAAUUUAGUAUGAAUAAACAACUUAAGCAACAAACAUGUGAACAAAAAUUCCUAAAUUCCAUCAGAAGUCACGGUCUAAUAUACAGUUGUCAUUAUGUAAGGUAAAGGUAGUCUAAUCUUUUAUGAGAAUGUAAUGUCUCCUAUGAGGAAACAGUACAAUUUACUGGCAUUUCAGGAUUUUUUCAAAGGCCAGCCAUUUCUCAUCAUUGUCACAUCAUGUGUGGUGACUGUUAUGCCGACUUUGAUGGUUAUCAUUUUAUUUUGUAUUCCUAGACAGCUUGAAAAUAUUUACUGUCGGUCUGGAGCUUGUCAAACAAUAAAAGCAUUCCACACGCAUGAACACUA